GCAUUCAGGGUCGCGUGCAUUUUCCCAGUUGGAAACUGAUUUUUUCCGAUUAGUCCGACCCCACGUGAACUAUCACCAGCGUUGUUGUGGCUAACUUGUUAGCAAACAUGAAGCCAACACAAACAAACAAACAACAUCCACUCAUUCAGCGAGAGGAACAGCUCUUCAUCCACACGGCGAAAAGAGUUUUGGAGACCCUGAAAAUACCGUCAGAAAAACAAAGGGCCCUGAGUGUGUGCUGCAGACGAUCGGUCAAGAUUUCCAGCUCUUGGGUCAGCUUGUAUUCCUCACGAAACUGCUCACCCAGCAGCACCAGGUCACGCGUGGCGUCAUGUAGCGGAAUGUCACUCAGAACGAAGACGGUGUUGAUGUGGGAGAGGAUGCCAUGAAAGCUGAAGUCAAUGUGAGGACGGACCAAAGAAAAAACAGAAGGGAGGAUACAGCCAUCCAGGUCCUCAUAGAACGCCUCUUCCUCUGAGUCCUUCUCCUCAAUCAGAAACUUGAUGUGGUCGCA